GACUGCCGGUGAACAACCGGAGGAAGGUGGGGAUGACGUCAAGUCCUCAUGGCCCUUAUAGGUAGGGCUACACACGUCAUACAAUGGAUGGUACAAAGGGUCGCCAACCCGCGAGGGGGAGCCAAUCCCAUAAAGCCAUUCGUAGUCCGGAUCGCAGUCUGCAACUCGACUGCGUGAAGUCGGAAUCGCUAGUAAUCGUGGAUCAGAAUGUCACGGUGAAUACGUUCCCGGGUCUU
rnacentral:rRNA from 1 species